rnacentral:rRNA from 1 species
UACAGAGACUGCAAGCGUUACUCGGAUUCACUGGGCGUAAAGGGAGCGCAGGCGGACCGGUGUGUCAGAUGUGAAACCCCAGGGCUCAACCCUGGGACUGCGUCUGAAACUGCCGGUCUAGGGACUCGGAGGGGCUAGUGGAAUUCCACGUGUAGCAGUGAAAUGCGUAGAGAUGUGGAGGAACACCGAUGGCGAAGGCAGCCCCCUGGGCCAACACUGACGCUCAGGCACGAAAGCGUGGGGAGCAAACAGG